UACGGAGGGUGCAAGUGUUAUCCGGAUUCACUGGGUUUAAAGGGUGCGUAGGUGGGUUGGUAAGUCAGUGGUGAAAUCUCCAGGCUUAACUUGGAAACUGCCAUUGAUACUAUCAAUCUUGAAUACCGUGGAGGUCAGCGGAAUAUGUCAUGUAGCGGUGAAAUGCUUAGAUAUGACAUAGAACACCAAUUGCGAAGGCAGCUGGCUACGCGGAUAUUGACACUGAUGCACGAAAGCGUGGGGAUCAAACAGG
rnacentral:rRNA from 1 species